ACUGCACGGGGAAACACAAGAAGGCUUGUCUCUGCAGACAGGCAAAGGUGAGGGCAUGAAGAUGUAUAACUGUCCCAGGUGGGAGAAGAGUACAGUUCACCCCCUCAGGAUUUGAAUCAGGAAGUUGAAAUGCAUCCUGAAAUUUACCUUGCCCAGAGGUCUGGGAAAACUGGAGCAAGUGGGAAAAGCUUCUUCCUUCAUAAAUGCAGUUGACCAGUGGAGCAGCAUUCAUUAGAAUCUGAAUGAGAAGAAAGAAGGGGAUGUAUGGCAAUUUAUG